AGAGUUUGAUCAUGGCUCAGACGAACGCUGGCGGCAGGCUUAACACAUGCAAGUCGAACGCUCCGCAAGGAGAGUGGCAGACGGGUGAGUAACACGUGGGAACGUACCCUUUACUACGGAACAACUCCGGGAAACUGGAGCUAAUACCGUAUGUGCCCUUCGGGGGAAAGAUUUAUCGGUAAAGGAUCGGCCCGCGUUGGAUUAGCUAGUUGGUGGGGUAAAGGCCUACCAAGGCGACGAUCCAUAGCUGGUCUGAGAGGAUGAUCAGCCACAUUGGGACUGAGACACGGCCCAAACUCCUACGGGAGGCAGCAGUGGGGAAUAUUGGACAAUGGGCGCAAGCCUGAUCCAGCCAUGCCGCGUGUGUGAUGAAGGCCUUAGGGUUGUAAAGCACUUUCACCGGAGAAGAUAAUGACGGUAUCCGGAGAAGAAGCCCCGGCUAACUUCGUGCCAGCAGCCGCGGUAAUACGAAGGGGGCUAGCGUUGUUCGGAAUUACUGGGCGUAAAGCGCACGUAGGCGGAUAUUUAAGUCAGGGGUGAAAUCCCAGAGCUCAACUCUGGAACUGCCUUUGAUACUGGGUAUCUUGAGUAUGGAAGAGGUAAGUGGAAUUGCGAGUGUAGAGGUGAAAUUCGUAGAUAUUCGCAGGAACACCAGUGGCGAAGGCGGCUUACUGGUCCAUAACUGACGCUGAGGUGCGAAAGCGUGGGGAGCAAACAGGAUUAGAUACCCUAGUAGUCC
rnacentral:rRNA from 1 species